GAUUAACGCUGGCGGCGUGCCUAACACAUGCAAGUCGAGCGGCAGCGAGUUUUACACUGAAUUCUGGAAGCUUCUAGUUGCAAGAGAAGAUUUAUUCAAGAAUUUUGUGUAAAAUGUCGGCGAGCGGCGGACGGCUGAGUAACGCGUGGGAACGUACCCCAAAGUGAGGGAUAACGCAUCGAAAGGUGUGCUAAUACCGCAUAUGGUCUUCGGAUUAAAGCCUUCGGGCGCUUUGGGAACGGCCUGCGUAAGAUUAGAUAGUUGGUGGGGUAAUGGCCUACCAAGUCGACGAUCUUUAACUGGUUUGAGAGGAUGAUCAGUCAGACUGGAACUGAGACACGGUCCAGACUCCUACGGGAGGCAGCAGUGAGGAAUCUUCCACAAUGGGCGAAAGCCUGAUGGAGCAACGCCGCGUGCAGGAUGAAGGCCUUCGGGUUGUAAACUGCUUUUAUAAGUGAGGAUUAUGACAGUAACUGAUGAAUAAGGAUCGGCUAACUACGUG
rnacentral:rRNA from 1 species